UGUCGAUAAUGUCCCGUACCAGUUACCGACAAGGGGUCCACCUGCAAAGCGCUAGCGAUUCCGUGGUUGACCCCCCAUGCGAAACAGACCCCCUACUCGCGUCACGUCGACUCCUUGACUUCGGUUGUCCAGUCUCGCGGAAAUAACGAUACGUUCGUAUGGAAAAAGGAGCGACAAAUGCCACCGGUAUAUCGUCACCCUGUCGUGGGGCGCAGAACGUUGAGUCGCAGCUAGCACGGUUCGCCCCUGGUGGCCUCGCCGUGUGUGGGAACCUCCGAUCUCGCGAUUUUCCUUCGUCGUUCGAACAUAACCUCUUGAGAGUUCACCGAAUAGCCGAUAGGCAUAUGCGUAUCUGUCACGGCUACCGAAAGUGCGCGCGGGCUUAAUUUUUACAAAAGCGCUGCCCGUGCACCCCGUGUGCUACCUUCUGCUCGAUAAACAAUAUACCAUCGUGUACGCGCCAACGGGUCGACGAGUGGUCUCCCUGUACAAUGCCAUCUUAUGACAUUUUCGAGUUCGACCGUUGUUGUUGAGUGCUUAAGUGCUCGUUAUACACACGUCGCGUCAAGCUUUUGUGUCGCAGCAACUGUUUUUUCGGGCGUUGGUUGAGUAUGUCCGGGGAGCCAAGUCCGCGUGAGCCUUGUUCUUUGCGAGCGAGAAUCGAAAAUUAAUAACGGACCAAGUAUACCCAGUAGCUGUACUACAACUUCCGUUAAUGAAAUUGUACAUGCAUAUCUAUAUCAUAUUGUCACGACGGAGUUAAUGUUCGCACGAUCAAUAGAACAAAUGCAGCGAACAACAGGGUCAACCUUCCCAAUCAACGACAUCUACGGUGAAAGGAAGAUCAUACGACAAAAUUUGUAAGUUUUCCAUUCAUUGAUAUUUCUGAUAGUUCCUCGACAAGUACGCGUUGAUGAAUAAUCUUAUCGACGUAAUGAACAAUCCAGACGACUGUAACGAAGAUUGACCAAUGAUCGAUAACGUAGCUUUUUGCCGAUGUGUAAGUUUAAGUUUAAGGGACCGAGAGAGAGAGAGAAAAGAGCGCGAAAAAGAAAGUCUCGGUCAGUAGGUAGAAAGCUGGUUGUCACGGAUAAACAUUUUCUAUCGUCUUCGAGCGAUUUACUUCUGGAGGUCAAGCUCGCCCACGCAACCGGCUUUUCUCCAGGGGCGUAUCCACGGGGCGUGUUCACAAAGCGGUAGGGUGUACCAGAGGCGGAGUCGUUUCCCCACCGUUGCCAACGCGCGAUUUUUGCUCUCGGCCACGAACGUACACGCGUUCUCCGCCGUAUAUAUACACGUAAGUGGUUGGUUUCUGGGUCGUGUGAGUAACACCGUGACGUCCCACGUUCGGACACGGGUCACAGACAGUAGGCUUUGCCGAGUUUUCUUCGGUCGAUCGCCGGCUAAACGAUUUCUUAUGCCGCGACAUUGAACACUGCGAUGUCGAGAAUCGAACAAAACCACGCUUCGUCUUUUUCUUCAUUUAUUUUCUGUCUUCUCUCUCGACAGAGUGCGCUUCAACGAAGAACAAAUCUCGCGAGUGCACCGAGCGACAACGAUACUUUCACUCGACCAUCGUCAGGUGUUUCUCAACUCCUUGCCUUACGAUGUUUUUUUACUAGCCACCUCAGUGAGCCUUAUUCCACGCUAUGACACCGUGUCAAACGCAAAAUAUCGAAACGUUACGAAGAAUCGAAGCUAAAAUCGUAGAUAGUCUCUCUUUCCUCUUUGUGCGUACCCGACUCCUUCACAGCUGUUAACUAGUUCAUGCGCCAUGUUUUCAUCAAGUUUAUUCAUUCUUUACCGAGGAUUAUUCUCUGCAAGUGGAAAUCGCAUAAGUUACUUACAUAUUUGUUUGCUACGAAUCCAUGGAAAUACGUGCUUAGCAAAAGCGCGAUCGAAUUCUCUUAUUGAAAAAGUAUUUGACGAGUCUUUUGAGUUGGGCGAUAGAAGAAACGGCAGACUAUGGAAGAAACCGGAGGAAGCUUCGCUCGUGUUUACAAUGUUUAGCUUCCACUAUAGCUGCGCUAUUUAGUUAUCGCGAUGGGAAAGUUUAUCCACGAUAUGGUGGCGCGAUCGGCUGCACAUAGAUACAUCUUACAUACGGUGAACGAGGGAAUAUCGCAAAUUCCCUGACGGCACGGAUGGCAAAGGCAUUCUGGCGUAGCAAUUACCUGCAGGGCGAGGGAGUCAAGUAGCAAUAUCUGGACCCGUUAUCCAGUUCGGUUAUCCCGACUGGAAUGCUUUGUGUCGCCGGCAAUCUGCAUUUCUACCUGUUUGAAUGGAAGUCUAUGAGAUCCGCGGCAUGAUUUCAAAUGAAAUCGACUCUUUGUCCCCUGGCCGGAAAUUUCCAAUUCAAUAACGCGCCCAGGGAAACGCUGCAGAAACGACCGAUUGAUUGAUACUCGGAAUUGGAUGGAACGCGAAAGGAUGGAAAAAGUUUUACUGCCGAUCGAUCGUCAUUCGAGAAAUUUGAAUGUCUUACAUGUAACCAAGAGCUAAUCCUGAAUCGAUUCGUUGGAUCUUAUUAAAGUUAUUAUUCAACUUCGUACACGUACAUAUUACACGUUACGAAUACUACGUAUCGGGAAACGUUGAUAGAAUAUUUAAAAUCGUGAUGAAUUUUAAGCCUGAUGAACGUCUGAACGUGCAUUGUAUUUUAGCAACUGUAGGCGUAUCGCUUCCUUUAGUUGGCUUUGGGAGAUUUUCUUCCAUUGGAACCUAUGAAUGACUAGUCAAGAACUUGCCCGGCAACCCUUUGCAAUGCAUUAGAAUUUCGCAGCUAUCAAGGGAGGAAGGCGACAUUAGCAUCGAGGCUAAGGACACCCUUGCUUCGCGUUCGCGUCUUAUGUUUUCGUCGGCCCGGUAUUCAUGAACGGGGUUCUGACGUGGGGCAUUCGACUUCCUUCUCCUUCAUGAAUUUACAAUCGACCGAAGGAAAUGCGCAGACGAAGCUUGCGCGUGCCAUUCCCCGAGAAGCAGUGCUAAACACCAGAAGCUUCGAUGCUCAUUCCAUCGCUUUAGGUAUGAGUUACAAGAUUUGUCAUAACGUAUACUUAACGAACAAUGGGAUAGAAACUUUUAUUCUUCUUCGAGGAAUUAUCACAUAUCGAGUCUCUUCGUAGUUGCACAUACAUAAGUACCUCUAUAGAUCGCACAAUAGUUGUCAGAAAUGACUAAAAAGGUUCUGCUAAUCGUAUGAAGCUACGGCAACAAAUCCAUGGUCCAGCUAAUAAGAACGCUAGUGUCGAAGGACGAGGGAAAGAGAGAAGUAAUAACGAGGAAGAUAGAGAUUGGAGGUUUAGUGGGCGAGGGUGAAUGUGGUGAGGGAAAGCGGAUGGAGGCUGGAGCCACGUGCUGCUGUCACUGGCACAGAUUAUAUUAUAUAGGAAUGGCAGCGAAUAGGUGUAGAUAUAAGCGUCGAGCGGCAGUUAAUAAAUAUGAUAAUGGCGGGCGAAGUGAGAGAAAGAGAGGGGUGUGUGGGGUGCGAUAUGGGAUACCAGUGUAUAAGAGUGACCACCAGAAGCAGAGGCCUGUCACCGUCAGGACCUCUCGUAUGUCAUGCGACGCACGCACCUAUACAUACAUGCACAUACAAAGUGGCGACACGCGCGCGAUGACAGCAUCGAGCGUGGAACGCGUGCUACUAUCUUUUUCUUCCAUUUUUCUCUCCUUUGCCGUGAUAUAAUUGUUGACGCGAUUACUCGAUUCCAAUGAGAGCUAUUUAAAUAAAAAAGCUGGCUGUCUUCCU